ensembl:lncRNA
GUAAUGUAUGUGUUUGGUGUGGAGAGGUAAUGUGUGGAUAGGUCACGUGUGGAGAGGUAAUGUAUGUGUUUGGGCAAUGUGUGGAGAGGUAAUGUGUGGAGAAGUAAUGUUGUUUGUUUGGGUAAUGUGUGGAGAGGUAAUAAAUGUAUGUGGGUAAUGUGCGGAGAGGUAUUGUGUGUGUUUGGUGUGGAGAGGUAAUGGUUGUGUGGAGAGGUAAUGUGUGUGUUUGGUGUGGAGAGGCAAUGUUUGGUGUGGAGAGGCAAUGUUUGUGUGGAGAGGUAAUGUAUGUGUUUGGUGUGGAGAUGUAAUGUUUGUGUGGAGAGGUAAUGUGUGGAGAGGUAAUGUGUGUGUCUGGGUAAUGUGUGGAGAGGUAAUGUAUGUGUUUGGUGUGGAGAUGUAAUGUUUGUGUGGAGAGGUAAUGUGUGUGUCUGGGUAAUGUGUGGAGAGGUCAUGUAUGUGUGUUGGUAAUGUGUGGAGAGGUAAUGUUUGUGUGGAGAGGCAAUGUAUGUGUCUGGGUAAUGUGUGGA